GCCGGGCAUGGUGGCUCAUGCCUGUAAUCCUAGCAGUUUGGGAGGCUGAGGUGGGAGGAUCACCUGAGGUCAGGAGUUCGAGACCAGCCUGACCAACAUGGAGAAACCCCAUCUCUA
rfam:Homo sapiens chromosome 2, GRCh38 reference primary assembly.